GACGGAUAUCGAAAAUAAAGACAAAUCCAAAAGGAGAAUCCUCGAUAACAGUUGGUCCUAAAGGACGAGUGAAAGAAAGAAAUCCAGAUAUAAUCCAUCAGAAUGAGCAUAGUGAAGAUAACAAUCAUAUUGAUUCUGAACCUUAACCUACUUUUCCAAAAUUAUCCCACCUUAACCUUAGCCCUGUUACAACCAUAAAGACCUCAAAGAGUGUGUGUAUCGUGCUUCUUGACAUCAAAAAGAGAAUU
rnacentral:lncRNA from 1 species